rnacentral:lncRNA from 1 species
CUUCGUUAUAACUUUUCAUUUUACCUCUUUCCAUCAAUAUAAUAAGAUAUAAUACAUAAUUUUACUCGAGAGAGAUCAUUAGUUAUAAUUUGUUAUUUUGAUUGUUAACACAUAUAGAAAAAGGCCAUAGGAUAUUGAAACUAAUGAAAAUUAACUGACGUUAAGUGAAAUCAAAGGUCCUAACUACCAAAUCCCCUAAGUUUUCCAAAAAGUCUCCUUGUGUUAAUUGUGUUAGAUAUAUUUCAGUACAAUCUUAGUUUAAAUUCAAUCCUUAAGUCAUUACUUGGUAACAAUAUUAGUUUUAUUUGAAGCUAGGUUUAGUCAUUAGAAUAGAAAUUGAUAAUAAGAUUAUUACUUGUCAAUAUACCAUACACUUGUGCUUUCGGUGAAAAGAUAGCAAAUCUACCUUUGGUGCUUUAUAUUAACAAAUAAAAUCAAAUCUUUCUCUUAUAAUGAUUCACACUACCUCUGUAGGAUUAUCUUACCCCACUUUCUGAAUUAGAAUCUGUAAUUAAGGUGAGACUUUUUUCCAUUAGGAUUACAUUGUUGAUAUUUUUUGGAACUUCAAAUCUUAAUAACAUAAAAACUUAAUUACUUUAUUGUUAAGAUCUUUCAUGUCAAAUCACAAAGAAAAUUAAUAAUGCAAAACAUACCUUAAUUCUUUGGGAACGAUUUUUUAUUACUAGAUCUUAAUUUCAUAUCUUGAAUCUUCAAAAUCAACCUGGAAUCCCUUCUUGAUUGGUUUCUUGCUUUCAAUCUUGAAUUUUUGCCUCCUUGAAUUCUUUGAUUUUUGUUCUUGGUUUUCCUUCUGGAUCCAUAAUUUUGAUUCUUGAAUUCCUUCAACUUGAUUCUUGAUUGUAGAUUUUAUGUUAUUGAUUGUGGAUUUUUGGAUCUUCUUCUUCAAUAUGCAUUCUCUCUAAAUUUUUGUGUUGAUG